rnacentral:rRNA from 1 species
UACGUAGGGAGCGAGCGUUGUCCGGAUUCAUUGGGCGUAAAGAGCUCGUAGGCGGCUUGAUAAGUCGGAUGUGAAACCUCCAGGCUCAACCUGGAGUCGCCAUCCGAUACUGUCAUGGCUAGAGUCCGGUAGGGGAGUGUGGAAUUCCCGGUGUAGCGGUGAAAUGCGCAGAUAUCGGGAGGAACACCAGUGGCGAAGGCGGCACUCUGGGCCGGUACUGACGCUGAGGAGCGAAAGCGUGGGGAGCGAACAGG